rnacentral:lncRNA from 1 species
AGAUUCCAAGGGUUUCUGAUGUUAAGGAGCUAAUGAAGAACAUGAUUACUAUAAACAAUGACCAUUCUCGUCGAGUCAUUGAAGCCAUGGAUACUAACAUGUUGGCACAGUUCAUACGACAACUCAUUGAGUCAUCAAGGUACUUUAUUGUCCUUCACAAUGGCCAUUCUCGUUGAGUCAUUGAAGCCAUGGAUACUAACAUGUUGGCACAGUUCAUCCGACAACUCAUUGAGUCAUCAAGGUACUUUAUUGUCCUUGAUGAUGUCCCUGACAUUGGUAUAUGGAGGGCUCUCAAAUGUAUAUUUCCUAUCGAAAACUGUGGCAGUAGGGUCAUCA